GGUUUUAUAGUCUAAAGAGUGAUUUUAAGUUGCAAGCUUAGGGGUAAAUUAAAUUUUAAGACCU
rnacentral:tRNA from 1 species